CGGUCACGGAAUAGGACGCCGCACAGUAGUACACGCCGGCCAUCGAUUCCUGCAGCGAGUUGAAGAUCAGCGCCAGCGCCUGCCCGGAGGCAAUCGACUCGGUGUAGAUGGGGGGUGACGAUUGUCCGGCCCUGGAAUUAAGACCUACGAAGGAUAUCCCUCUAGAGGAGGAAAUCAGCUUGAAAAAAACUUUUUCAAAUUUCCCUGUAAAAAAGGAAAAAUCCAAACUAGCUGUACGACGGCAUCAUCCACCAGCAAAUUCUGAAGGACUUUGCGCCACCGCUGCUGGUGCAAAAAAUGCGAUAAAAACUCCAGGAAGAUUUUGAGCAAGUUUCGAGCUGCACACAAGUUCAUGCCAUUUGCUGCCACCGAAGAGAGAAUAUUGCAUCCCAAAUUGUCGUACGAAGCCGGUGUGGGGCCCAGGCCCAUGGGUUCCGGUUUCGAGGAGCUGAUGCCAAAGGACAUUCAAGCCAGCUGGGAAACGGUGGCAAAUCUGAUGAUGCCCUGUGAAACUUAAGUAAUAAAGAUGGAGUUUGGAACGCGUCUAGCCCGGGGACGUAAAAGAAGAGGAUUACAAGAGAAAUUUUACAGAUUAUUGCGAUGGAAAUGAUAGAAUUUCAUUUAAACGAGUGUCUCAUUCUAUACUAAUACUGAUUAUACUGAAUUUGAACAAUAUUAAUGCACGUUUGAACAGUUUGUAAUACAAAAAAAAUCCUGAAUGAGA